rnacentral:rRNA from 1 species
AUUGAACGCUGGCGGCAGGCCUAACACAUGCAAGUCGAGCGGAUGACGGGAGCUUGCUCCUUGAUUCAGCGGCGGACGGGUGAGUAAUGACUAGGAAUCUGCCUGAUAGUGGGGGACAACGUUUCGAAAGGAACGCUAAUACCGCAUACGUCCUACGGGAGAAAGCAGGGGAUCUUCGGGCCUUGCGCUAUCAGAUGAGCCUAGGUCGGAUUAGCUGUUUGGUGAGGUAAUGGCUCACCAAGGCGACGAUCCGUAACUGUUCUGAGAGGAUGAUCAGUCACACUGGAACUGAGACACGGUCCAGACUCCUACGGGAGGCAGCAGUGGGGAAUAUUGUACAAUGGGCGAAAGCCUGGUCCAGCCAUGCCGCGUGUGUGAAGAAGGUCUUCGGAUUGUAAAGCACUUUAAGUUGGGAGGAAGGGCAGUAAGUUAAUACCUUGCUGUUUUGACGUUACCGACAGAAUAAGCACCGGCUAACUCUGUGCCAGCCGCCGCCGUAAGAC